CACACCGCCCGUCACACCAUGGGAGUGGGUUGCACCAGAAGUAGCUAGUCUAACCGCAAGGGGGACGGUUACCACAGUGUGAUUCAUGACUGGGGUG
rnacentral:rRNA from 1 species